CACUGGUGCAGUGGAAUGUCAAGCUAGUUAAGAACUACAAAGGAAAAUAUUUUAGUAAAGAAUCAUUUGACAAUCUAGGAUUAGGCAUCUGCAAUGCACCUCUGUUUUCAGUAAGGACUGAUGUUCAAAGAAGGCUUAUUGACUACUGUGUGCCGAGCCCUACACUAGGGACUGAGAUAGAAUAAUGAGCAAAACUGAAGGAAGCAGACAGAUACAACUUCAGAACAUUAUGGAUUUUGCCACUUAAUUUUACAGGUAGUUUGAAGGCCAACUUCAUCGACUUCUAGAAUUGCUUUCAGGUCAAUAAUUAAACCAUGAAGAGAUUUUUAAACAGACUCGGUUGUAAACGGUUUUGAAGUGUCUA